rnacentral:rRNA from 1 species
UACGGAGGGGGCUAGCGUUGUUCGGAAUUACUGGGCGUAAAGCGCACGUAGGCGGAUCAGCAAGUUAGGGGUGAAAUCCCGGGGCUCAACCCCGGAACUGCCUUUAAAACUGUUGGUCUGGAGGUCGAGAGAGGUGAGUGGAAUUCCGAGUGUAGAGGUGAAAUUCGUAGAUAUUCGGAGGAACACCAGUGGCGAAGGGCGGCUCACUGGCUCGAUACUGACGCUGAGGUGCGAAAGCGUGGGGAGCAAACAGG